rnacentral:rRNA from 1 species
AACGAACGCUGGCGGCAUGCCUAACACAUGCAAGUCGAACGAUGCCUUCGGGCCUAGUGGCGCACGGGUGCGUAACGCGUGGGAAUCUGCCUUUCGGUUCGGAAUAACUCAGGGAAACUUGAGCUAAUACCGGAUAACGUCGCAAGACCAAAGAUUUAUCACCGAAAGAUGAGCCCGCGUAGGAUUAGCUAGUUGGUGAGGUAAAGGCUCACCAAGGCGACGAUCCUUAGCUGGUCUGAGAGGAUGAUCAGCCACACUGGGACUGAGACACGGCCCAGACUCCUACGGGAGGCAGCAGUGGGGAAUAUUGGACAAUGGGCGAAAGCCUGAUCCAGCAAUGCCGCGUGAGUGGUGAAGGCCUUAGGGUUGUAAAGCUCUUUUACCCGGGAAGAUAAUGACGGUACCGGGAGAAUAAGCCCCGGCUAACUCCGUG